UACGGAGGAUGCAAGCGUUAUCCGGAUUCAUUGGGUUUAAAGGGUGCGUAGGCGGGAUAAUAAGUCAGUGGUGAAAUCCUGCAGCUUAACUGCAGAACUGCCAUUGAUACUGUUAACCUUGAGUACAUUUGAAGUGGGCGGAAUGUGUCAUGUAGCGGUGAAAUGCUUAGAUAUGACGCAGAACUCCGAUAGCGAAGGCAGCUCACUAAACUGUAACUGACGCUGAGGCACGAAAGCGUGGGGAUCAAACAGG
rnacentral:rRNA from 1 species